UACGUAGGGGGCAAGCGUUAUCCGGAUUUACUGGGUGUAAAGGGAGCGUAGACGGCUGUGCAAGUCUGAAGUGAAAGGCAUGGGCUCAACCUGUGGACUGCUUUGGAAACUGUGCAGCUAGAGUGUCGGAGAGGUAAGUGGAAUUCCUAGUGUAGCGGUGAAAUGCGUAGAUAUUAGGAGGAACACCAGUGGCGAAGGCGGCUUACUGGACGAUGACUAACGUUGAGGCUCGAAAGCGUGGGGAGCAAACAGG
rnacentral:rRNA from 1 species